rnacentral:rRNA from 1 species
AGCAGCCGCGGUAAUUCCAGCUCCAAUAGCGUAUAUUAAAGUUGUUGCAGUUAAAAAGCUCGUAGUUGAAUUUCGGGAUUAGUACGUUGGUCGUGCCUUCGGUACGUACUGGUGUUACUGAUUCCUACCUUCUGAAGAACCAUCAUGUCAUUAAUUUGGUGUGGCGGGGAAUCAGGACUGUUACUUUGAAAAAAUUAGAGUGUUUAAAGCAGGCUCGCGCUUGAAUACAUUAGCAUGGAAUAAUGAAAUAGGACGUUGACCCUAUUUUGUUGGUUUCUAGGAUUGACGUAAUGAUUAAUAGGGAUAGUUGGGGGCAUUAGUAUUCAAUUGUCAGAGGUGAAAUUCUUGGAUUUAUUGAAGACUAACUACUGCGAAAGCAUUUGCCAAGGAUGUUUUCAUUAAUCAAGAACGAAAGUUAGGGGAUCGAAGACGAUCAGAUACCGUCGUAGUCUUAACCAUAAACUAUGCCGACUAGGGAUCGGAUGAUGUUAUUUUUAAUGACUCA